UUCACAGAAUAAUAACAAGUUUGCAGUGCCAUCCAGAAAUCAUCCCUUCGAUUUUUGAAAUUAUUCGCACAUUCUAGCAUAAGGAAGAACCAUGGAAAACAUCCUUCCACACAAACAAACUUCCCAUCAGAGGAAGUUGGACAUUAUUUCUUACCAGCAUGCAUUGUGUUCAACCCGGCACACAUCAAGUCAUGCCAGAUCUGCGCAGCACUGUCUGAAGUUGAACGAGCCAUAUGGUCUUUGCACUUUAAACGUCUCAGGCUCCACUUCCUCCUGGAGAGUUUCCCACCGCACGACUCUUGCACAUGCCAGCAACGUGCAGGACUAACUGCAGCCAGGUCCUCUCCAUGGCACAAAUGGAUUCCGGAAAAAGGCUCUUUCACAUGCCAGCAACGUGCAGGACUAACUGCAGCAAGGUCCUCUCCAUGUUCGGCACUAUACUGAAAAUGGAUUCCAGCAAAAGGUUCCAUCCACCCAGGAUGGACAUGGUACUCAACUCAGGCCUGGCCCUCAGGUACGCUGCGUAGUCUGCUCAAGUACUGGCUGUGACCGUACUGGCCUAUCCACACUAC